rnacentral:rRNA from 1 species
CCUACGUGAGGCAGCAGUGAGGAAUAUUGGUCAAUGGGCGGAAGCCUGAACCAGCCAAGUAGCGUGCAGGCUGACGGCCCCACGCGUUGUAAACUGCUUUUAUACGGGAAUAACGCGCCUUACGUGUAGGUCUUUUCAUGUACCGUAUGAAUAAGGACCGGCUACUUCCGUGCCAGCAGCCGCGUUAAUACGGAAGGUCCGGGCGUUAUCCGGAUUUCUUGGGUUUAAAGGGCGCGUAGGCCGCAUGUCAAGCGUGCUGUGAAAUGUCCGGGCUCAACCCCGGCCUUGCAGCGCGAACUGGCGUGCGUGAGUCCGCGGAAAGCAGGCGGAAUUCGUCGUGUAGCGGUGAAAUGCUUAGAUAUGACGAAGAACCCCGAUUGCGAAGGCAGCUUGCUGCAGCGGAACUGACGCUGAGGCUCGAAAGCGCGGGUAUCGAACAGGAUUAGAUACCCCUGUAGUC